UUGCUUAAGCGAACAUUGCUGAGUAGAAGACCCAAAUUAGUAUUUUUGACAUUUUAGGAGAUAAGAAACUCUAAUUUGAUGAUUUUCGAUGGGUUCUUAUCGUACAAUCAUUUUCAAUCACUUUAUAAAUCUAUUUUCACUAUUUCCCAAGAACUUUUCUUUUAUUUUUUGUGAUUUCCACCCAAGAUGAGAAUCAGAACUCCAUUUUCACUAUUUUGGGGGCUUGGAAGCUCAGAUUUGGGCGAUUCAAAAUGUAUUUUUAAGAUUUCUUCCAUGGAUAAAUUUUUAAUCUUAUAAUUAUCAUUUAUCUCUUAAUUUCAUAUUCAAAAGAACUUCAAAUUCUUGAUUUUAAAAUAGGUUUUGGGGAUGUUUUGUCGAUAAAGCUUGAAAAUAAUUUUUUUAUUUGAACUUUAUUUUAAACUCAUUUUCACAUCUGUUUUAUGUUUUAGACUCCUAUGAGUAUGGGGAAAAUAUUUUUAAAAUAAAUUUAUGAUUUUACCCUUUUUUUUGAUAAUCCAUUUUGGGGGCUGUUUUAACUUUUGACUUGGAACUGGGAAAUAUGGGUAUCAUUGACUUUUUUUGUGUGAAGAUUCUAUUUUAGGAUGUUUUAGUUGUUUUGAAUCCUUUCAUGAUAGAAAAGCUAUGGGUUGAAGGCUUUUUGGAUUGGUUUUUGGUAUUCGGGGAUUGGUUAUGGCUUAAGUUUCUUCAGACUGUGUUGGAUAGUAAAUAUUUGUAUAAAAUAAUCUUAUGGGUGUGGGAACCAAUGAUGAAAUUGGCUGUUAAUAUUGUGUUGUGCCUGUGUGGGGGCCUAUGUUUUUAUUUUGUAGCAUUGAGACCUUAUCUGGCAUGUGUAACUGUGUGGGGUCUUGUAUAAUGUCGUUGGCCUUAUGUAUGUAUAUUUGGUGGUAUCUUCCUAAUGAAAAGCCAAAAUUGCAAUUUAUAUAAUAUCAAUGGAAUAAUGUUGUGUAUUUUGAUUAAUUGGCAUAUGAUUACAUUGGUUUCAAUGAUUGUGGGCAUAAUGAGUGGAUUUUAGCUUACAUAGUUAAUAUAUUUGCUGGUUUUUGGAUAUUCUCAUUUUAGUUUGCUAUGAGCAUUGUCUCCAAAAUAAUAUAUACCAGUGAAACAUUGGUACCACUAUAGGUAUAUUGGAAAAAUUGACUUGUGACAUUCUUAUAGACCCACUAGUGUGGGAUCUGUCAGAGAGGAGUCAUGAUCUGAGGUGGUUUUAUACACUUUGGUGUCAUUAUUCUAGCUUAUUUUGCUUUGUUUUGAGAUCAGUUCGUGUGCUUAACAUGUUCAUAUUGAUAUAAAUAAGCAUUUAAGUGUCCAAGUGUGUAUUUAGAAUGUCCAAAGUAUUUUUCAAACAAGCUUGUAUUAAAUGAUUUAAUUAGAGUUCAACCCGGAAAACUAGUUUUACUAGCUUGAGCUAGGUGUGUGUCUAGUUGGUUUCGGUGGAUUUUAAUGUGUUAAUUUGUUUCAAAUAUUUUAAAUCUGUAAUUAUGAGUGGAAUCACUUGUUUGUAAUAUGCAAAGCUAAAUUUGAUUAAGUCCUAAGUCGGAAUAAUAAGUGGAAGAUCAUUGCGAAUUUGCCUUAUCUUAGCUCUUGUUUUAAUUCAUUGUUGAGAAUAUUGUGUUGUUUUGAUCUUUAAUAUGUGGUGUAUGAUAUUAUAGGAGGCUUUGUGAGGUGAAUAUGGUUAUAUAUUGAUGAUAAAAAGGCCAAAAAUUCAUUAGAAAUACAUUACAGAAGGCAUGGACAAAUGAUAGGACAUUCAACACUUAACCCAAAUUUUGAAAGCAAAUUUCGGAGAGUCUACGCAUCGCGUCGAUUGUCACACAGUUUACACUUGGAAAAAAUUUUCAAUGUUAAUUACAAUACACCGAUGCAAAUUUGACGCAUCGCAUUGAUUAUUCAAUGCAAAACAAAUGAUGGUGUACCGACACAGUACAUGACUUUGUCCAAAUUUUAAUUGAAAUAGUGGCACACAUACCAAGGACCCUUAGUGGGGAAUCUUUCCAAAUCCCAUUUUUCUUUUGGGAAGAGAAUUUAUAUUAUAAUAUAUUAUCAUAUUUAGAUCAUUACUACAACUGGACAUGGGAAUUAUAUCCUUGAUCAAUUGGAUUAUAUUUUGGACACAAAGUUGGAGCAAUAUAAAUUCCACAAGAACCGUUAUUGGACAACAACAAUUACCUGGGCACGAAUUGAACUAUUUUAAAGCUGC
rnacentral:lncRNA from 1 species